AGAGCACCCACUUGUGGGACAGGUGGACACAAAAUAGGACACCGAGGCAGCUCUAUGCAUGAUGAUGAGCCUAAGGAUGAUGUCCCGCAGCCUCCUCCCCCGCCCAAACAUUAUACGAGGGU